rnacentral:rRNA from 1 species
UCUUUCGAUGGUAGUGUAUUGGACUACCAUGGCUAUAACGGGUAACGGAGAAUUGGGGUUCGAUUCCGGAGAGGGAGCCUGAGAAACGGCUACCAUUUCUAAGGGAGGCAGCAGGCGCGUAAAUUACCCAAUCCUGACUCAGGGAGGUAGUUAAUAGAAAUAACGUGUCCGGCUCUAUGAGCUUUGGACCCUGUAAUGAAUUGAAUUUAGAUCGAUCCUUGAAACCUAUUAGAGGGCAAGUCUGGUGCCAGCAGCCGCGGUAAUUCCAGCUCUAAUAGCGUAUUCUAACGUUGUUGCAGUUAAAAGCUCGUAGUUGAAAUUCCGGCGUUUUUUCGCCUGUCGGGUAGAAUCUGGGAUACUGUCAAAAGUUUCUCUUGUUUGAGCCGACUUUUACUGUGAACAAAUUAAAGUGCUUAAAGCAGGCAAUCGCUUGAAUAUUUUAGCAUGGAAUAAUAAAAGAUGACUUUAUUCAUCUGGUGGUCGUUGGAUAGAGUAAUGGUUAACAGGAACAGUUGGGGGUAUUCGUAUUUAAUAGUCAGAGGUGAAAUUCUUAGAUUUAUUAAAGACGAACUAAUGCGAAAGCAUUUGCCAAGGAUGUUUUCAUUAAUCAAGAACGAAAGUUAGGGGAUCAAAGACGAUCAGAUACCGUCGUAGUCCUAACCAUAAACUAUACCGACUAGGGAUUGGCGAGGAAAACCCUCGUCAGCACCUAAUGAGAAAUCAAAGUCUUUGGGUUCUGGGGGGAGUAUGGUCGCAAGGCUGAAACUUAAAGGAAUUGACGGAAGGGCACUACCAGGAGUGGAGUCUGCGGCUUAAUUUGAUUCAACACGGGGAAACUUACCAGGGCAAGAGAUUGAUGGGAUUGACAGAUUGAUAGCUCUUUCUUGAUUCUUUUACUAGUGGUGCAUGGCCGUUCUUAGUUGGUGGAGUGAUUUGUCAGGUUAAUUCCCUUAACGAACGAGACCUUAACCUGCUAAAUAGGAGCUUCUAAAAUCUAGGAGUAUCCUUCUUAGAGGGACUACCGGUCUAAACCGGUGGAAGUUUGAGGCAAUAACAGGUCCGUGAUGCCCUAAGAUGUUCUGGGCCGCACGCGUACUACACUGAUGCAUGCAGUAAGUCAACCUAACCCGAAAGGGGCUGGGUAAUCUUUUCAAAGUGCAUCGUGCUUGGGAUAGACCUUUGCAAUUUUGGGUCUUGAACGAGGAACUCCUAGUAAGCAUGGGUCAUCAACCCAUGUUGAUUACGUCCCUGCCCUUUGUACACACCGCCCGCCGCUUCUACCGAUUCGAGUGGUUCGGCAAAUGCUCCGGACUGGCCUAGCCAGAAAGUUGUGUAAGCCAUAUCACUUAGAGGAAGAAUAAGGCGUAACAAGGUA